rnacentral:rRNA from 1 species
CGAGUGGCGAACGGGUGAGUAACGCGUGAGGAACCUGCCUCAAAGAGGGGGACAACAGUUGGAAACGACUGCUAAUACCGCAUAAGCCCACGGGUCGGCAUCGACCAGAGGGAAAAGGAGCAAUCCGCUUUGAGAUGGCCUCGCGUCCGAUUAGCUAGUUGGUGAGGUAAUGGCCCACCAAGGCAACGAUCGGUAGCCGGACUGAGAGGUUGAACGGCCACAUUGGGACUGAGACACGGCCCAGACUCCUACGGGAGGCAGCAUG